AUAAGCACCCACUUUAGAGGGCGCUUUCCAAAAUAAGCGCCCUCUAAACCCUUUAAAUUUCCACUUUAGAGGGCGCUUUCCAGUAAAAGCACCCUCUAAACCCUUAAAAGUUUCCACUUUAGAGGGCGCUUUCCAGUAAAAGCCCCCUCUAAACCCUUAAAAGUUUCCACUUUAGAGGGCGCUUUCUUUAAAAAGCGCCCUCUAAAGUGGCCCUUAAAGGGCUUAAAGAGCCACUUUAGA
rnacentral:lncRNA from 1 species